AGUGAACGCUGGCGGUAGGCCUAACACAUGCAAGUCGAACGGCAGCACAGGAGAGCUUGCUCUCUGGGUGGCGAGUGGCGGACGGGUGAGGAAUACAUCGGAAUCUACUCUGUCGUGGGGAAUAACGUAGGGAAACUUACGCUAAUACCGCAUACGACCUACGGGUGAAAGCAGGGGACAUUCGGGCCUUGCGCGAUUGAAUGAGCCGAUGUCGGAUUAGCUAGUUGGCGGGGUAAAGGCCCACCAAGGCGACGAUCCGUAGCUGGUCUGAGAGGAUGAUCAGCCACACUGGAACUGAGACACGGUCCAGACUCCUACGGGAGGCAGCAGUGGGGAAUAUUGGACAAUGGGCGCAAGCCUGAUCCAGCCAUACCGCGUGGGUGAAGAAGGCCUUCGGGUUGUAAAGCCCUUUUGUUGGGAAAGAAAUCCAGCUGGUUAAUACCCGGUUGGGAUGACGGUACCCAAAGAAUAAGCACCGGCUAACUUCGUGCCAGCCGCCGCCGUAA
rnacentral:rRNA from 1 species